rnacentral:rRNA from 1 species
GACGAACGCUGGCGGCGUGCUUAACACAUGCAAGUCGAACGAAGUGGGAACGGGUGAGUAAUACGUGAGUAACCUCCCUCCUUUUUGGGAUAAGCCUUGGAAACGGGGUCUAAACCGGAUAGAUGGGCUCGCGGCGUAUCAGUUUGUUGGUGGGGUGAUGGCCUACCAAGGCGGUGACGGGUAGCCGGCCUGAGGGGGUGGCCGGCCACAUUGGGACUGGGAUACGGCCCAGACUUCUACGGGAGGCCGCAGUAGGGGAACAUCGGCAAUGGGCGGAAGUCUGACCAAACAACGCCGCGUGAGAGGAGGAGGUUUUCGGGUCGGAAAGCUCUGUUGAUAGAGGAGCGGUAACUAACCAGAAAGGGACGGCUAACUACGUGCCAGCAGCCGCGGUAAUAC